UACGAAGGGGGCGAGCGUUGUUCGGAUUUACUGGGCGUAAAGGGCGCGCAGGCGGCUCAUUUUGUCAGGCGUGAAAGCCCCGGGCUUAACCUGGGAACUGCGUUUGAUACGGAUGGGCUAGAGUUCGGGAGAGGAGCGUGGAAUUCCCAGUGUAGAGGUGAAAUUCGUAGAUAUUGGGAGGAACACCUGUGGCGAAAGCGGCGCACUGGACCAUAACGUGACGCUGAUGGCGCGAAAGCUAGGGGAGCAAACAGGG
rnacentral:rRNA from 1 species